rnacentral:rRNA from 1 species
UACGUAGGUGGCAAGCGUUGUCCGGAUUUACUGGGCGUAAAGGAUGCGUAGGCGGACAUUUAAGUCAGAUGUGAAAUACCCGAGCUUAACUUGGGUGCUGCAUUUGAAACUGGGUGUCUAGAGUGCAGGAGAGGUAAGUGGAAUUCCUAGUGUAGCGGUGAAAUGCGUAGAUAUUAGGAGGAACACCAGUGGCGAAGGCGACUUUCUGGACUGUAACUGACACUGAGGCACGAAAGCGUGGGGAGCAAACAGG